rnacentral:misc_RNA from 1 species
UACGUAGGGCGCAAGCGUUGUCCGGAAUUAUUGGGCGUAAAGAGCUCGUAGGUGGUUUGUCGCGUCUGCUGUGAAAACGCAAGGCUUAACCUUGCGCCUGCAGUGGGUACGGGCAGACUAGAGUGCGGUAGGGGAGACUGGAAUUCCUGGUGUAGCGGUGGAAUGCGCAGAUAUCAGGAGGAACACCGAUGGCGAAGGCAGGUCUCUGGGCCGUUACUGACACUGAGGAGCGAAAGCAUGGGGAGCGAACAGG